CCCAAAUGUAAUCCAGUCCCCCAAUAAGGCAACAUGAUGUGACGAUGGCGGUAAUGAAAAUGUGCGUGGUAUAGUAUUAUCAUUGGGGUACUUGAUAUCGACGCAUUCGUUUCUCAGUGUCACUGAAGAGCACGAUGGGGUGGUCUCUUUGGAGUAUCUUUGCUUGGAAAAACUUAACUAGAACCUAAAAUGCCAUUUCAUGCCUUUUUCCACGAGCAAAUUAUUUCAGCCAUGGUUUAGGUUUCUGGCGAUGUUUAAAUUUCAGUCCCCAAAAUUCCUACCGAGGCAUGCAACUAACUCGGUUGACUCAUAGCUAGUUACGGACCUGCAGAUGAUGGUCAAAUUCAGAAAUGUUAACAGCUUACGACUUCAUUUUCUCACUUUGAUAUACAAUUGCUGGUUGACCACCUUCUGCAGAUAGUUUUUAG